GGGUGAGUAAAGCAUCGGAACGUGCCCGAUCGUGGGGGAUAACGCAGCGAAAGCUGCGCUAAUACCGCAUAAGAUCUACGGAUGAAAGCGGGGGACUCGCAAGAGCCUCGCGCGAACGGAGCGGCCGAUGUCAGAUUAGGUAGUUGGUGGGGUAAAGGCCCACCAAGCCGACGAUCUGUAGCUGGUCUGAGAGGACGACCAGCCACACUGGGA
rnacentral:rRNA from 1 species